UGGAAUGUUACCCAAGCGGUUAAGGGGUCUGGUUGCUAACCAGAUAGCGGGCUUAAUGUCCGGCAUAGGUUCGAAUCCUGUACAUUCCGU
rnacentral:tRNA from 1 species